rnacentral:misc_RNA from 1 species
GGAAGAACCUCUUUGAUAAGGCCAUUAGUCUCCUUCUCCGCCCAUGCAUUUACUUCAUUAGUCACUUCAACAGCCUUUCAUCACCAACACAAAAUUAAAAUCAGGGCUAUGCCUAUUAGCAUCAAUACUAAAGACAAUUGUGUGCCAUGCCAUCAAUACUAAACUGUAGAUUCAAGCCAUUGAUGUUUAUGAAAUUAUAUAUGGUGAUAGCCUUUAAUCAGAGACAAUAUUGCCAUGGGGGAAGAUAUUACAGUUCUAUGUUAUAACAAAAUAAAAAGCUAUAAGAAUUGAGAAUUGAGAAAUGAAGUGGACUCUUUUGAUGCUCACAUAAGCCUAAAGAACCUAGAAAUGGAACAAAUCCUAAUCCACAACUUCACUAUGCUCAAGCUCAAGAACAUAUAAGAUAUGAAGGUUCCAAGAUAUUGCUCUGGUGCAACAAAAUUCAACAAGGUAGAAAUUCAUCUGCAAGAAUGCUUUUCCUUUCAGGUGAAUGUUGUGCAUAGUGAUAAUUUGAUAUUAUUAAAAACCUGUGCAAGUUUAAACAAAAAUUAAAUUCCCUGCACCUAACAAAGGGGUAUCACAAUAAUGUUUCAUAGUUGAAAUGUUCAUAUAGACUUCCAUGGCUAUUGUUCAAUCAUCCGUGCAGAGUGGUUCAAAAGUAAGCAUACUUUCAGAAACAUUGCCCUGUUUUGUCUCUUUUCCUACAAAGCAGAGACUGCUAUAAACUAGAAAAGCAAUCUAUAUAUUAUGAAAAUAGAGAAAUUAUUAGGUGCAUUGGUGUACAUAUACAUCUUCUCUUACAUACAUAUACAUAGGUUCCACUUCUAUCUGUGUUAUCCAUAUUAUAAGGAGGGUUUUUCUGUGAGAGAAUGAGCUCCUUUUUAAUUCUUUCCAGUGAAUCUAAUAAUUAGCCCUGAAAAUAAGUAGAUAAUCAUAGAG